rnacentral:lncRNA from 1 species
UAGAUACAACCAGGCACACAUAUCAACCUGCUCUUUUAACAGGGCUACCAUCCUGUUCUUGACUUGCCUAUGAAGCGGCCUCAAUAUUCGCUUUCUGACCUCGGCGGUGCUUGGAGCAACAAUUCUGAACACGCCUCAUGCGGUUGAAUCACCUUCUCCUCUUGUUUCAACAACCUGGCUAAUUCCAGCAGAUCACAAUCUUCUUCG